CCUACGGGAGGCAGCAGUGAGGAAUAUUGGUCAAUGGUCGGGAGACUGAACCAGCCAAGCCGCGUGAGGGAUGAAGGUACAGAGUAUCGUAAACCUCUUUUGUCAGGGAACAAAGGCGGGGACGUGUCCCCGGAUGAGUGUACCUGAAGAAAAAGCAUCGGCUAACUCCGUGCCAGCAGCCGCGGUAAUACGGAGGAUGCGAGCGUUAUCCGGCUUUAUUGGGGUUAAAGGGUGCGCAGGCGGUCUGUUAAGUCAGCGGUAAAAGCCCGGGGCUCAACCCCGGCCUGCCGUUGAAACUGGCAGUCUCGAGUUGGAGAGAAGUAUGCGGAAUGCGCGGUGUAGCGGUGAAAUGCAUAGAUAUCGCGCAGAACUCCGAUUGCGAAGGCAGCAUGCCGGCUCCACACUGACGCUGAGGCACGAAAGCGUGGGUAUCGAACAGGAUUAGAUACCCCUGUAGUC
rnacentral:rRNA from 1 species